GUGGGGAAUAUUGGACAAUGGGGGGAACCCUGAUCCAGCCAUGCCGCGUGUGUGAAGAAGGCCUUUUGGUUGUAAAGCACUUUAAGCGAGGAGGAGGCUACCGAGAUUAAUACUCUUGGAUAGUGGACGUUACUCGCAGAAUAAGCACCGGCUAACUCUGUGCCAGCAGCCGCGGUAAUACAGAGGGUGCAAGCGUUAAUCGGAUUUACUGGGCGUAAAGCGCGCGUAGGUGGCCAAUUAAGUCAAAUGUGAUAUCCCCGAGCUUAACUUGUGAAUUGCAUUCGAUACUGGUUGGGUAGAGUAUGGGAGAGGAUGGUAGAAUGCCAGGUGUAGCGGUGAAAUGCGUAGAGAUCUGGAGGAAUACCGAUGGCGAAGGCAGCCAUCUGGCCUAAUACUUACACUGAGGUGCGAAAGCAUGGGGAGCAAACAGGAUUAGAAACCCUUGUAGUCC
rnacentral:rRNA from 1 species